rnacentral:rRNA from 1 species
CCUACGGGUGGCAGCAGUGAGGAAUAUUGGUCAAUGGACGAGAGUCUGAACCAGCCAAGUAGCGUGAAGGAUGACUGCCCUAUGGGUUGUAAACUUCUUUUAUAUGGGAAUAAAAUGUUCCACGUGUGGGAUUUUGUAGGUACCAUAUGAAUAAGGAUCGGCUAACUCCGUGCCAGCAGCCGCGGUAAUACGGAGGAUCCGAGCGUUAUCCGGAUUUAUUGGGUUUAAAGGGAGCGUAGGUGGAUUGUUAAGUCAGUUGUGAAAGUGUGCGGCUCAACCGUAAAAUUGCAGUUGAAACUGGCAGUCUUGAGUACAGUAGAGGUGGGCGGAAGUCGUGGUGUAGCGGUGAAAUGCUUAGAUAUCACGAAGAACUCCGAUUGCGAAGGCAGUUCACUGGACUGCAACUGACACUGAGGCUCGAAAGUGUGGGUAUCAAACAGGAUUAGAUACCCCUGUAGUC